rnacentral:rRNA from 1 species
GACGAACGCUGGCGGCGUGCUUAACACAUGCAAGUCGAACGGAAAGGCCCUGCUUUUGUGGGGUGCUCGAGUGGCGAACGGGUGAGUAACACGUGAGUAACCUGCCCUUGACUUUGGGAUAACUUCAGGAAACUGGGGCUAAUACCGGAUAGGAGCUCCUGCUGCAUGGUGGGGGUUGGAAAGUUUCGGCGGUUGGGGAUGGACUCGCGGCUUAUCAGCUUGUUGGUGGGGUAGUGGCUUACCAAGGCUUUGACGGGUAGCCGGCCUGAGAGGGUGACCGGCCACAUUGGGACUGAGAUACGGCCCAGACUCCUACGGGACGCAGCAGUGGGGAAUAGUGCACAAUGGGCGGAAGCCUGAUGCAGCAACGCCGCGUGCGGGAUGACGGCAUUCGGGUUGUAAACCGCUUUCGCCUGUGACGAAGCGUGAGUGACGGUAAUGGGUAAAGAAGCACCGGCUAACUACGUG